CCUACGGGUGGCAGCAGUGGGGAAUAUUGCGCAAUGGGCGAAAGCCUGACGCAGCGACGCCGCGUGAGGGAUGAAGGUCUUCGGAUCGUAAACCUCUGUCAGCAGGGAAGAACGGUCACUGUGCUAAUCAGCAGUGAAUUGACGGUACCUGCAAAGGAAGCACCGGCUAACUCCGUGCCAGCAGCCGCGGUAAUACGGAGGGUGCGAGCGUUGAUCGGAAUUACUGGGCGUAAAGCGCUCGUAGGCGGUAUGUCAAGUCAAGGGUGAAAUCCCCGCGCUCAACGUGGGAACUGCCUUUGAAACUGGCAAACUGGAGUGUGUGAGAGGAUAGUGGAAUGCCAGGUGUAGGAGUGAAAUGCGUAGAUAUCUGGAGGAACAUCAGUGGCGAAGGCGACGAUCUGGCACAUAACUGACGCUGAGGAGCGAAAGCGUGGGUAGCAAACAGGAUUAGAUACCCGAGUAGUC
rnacentral:rRNA from 1 species